UGCCCCAUCGUCUAGCGGUAGGACGCCUGUCUCUGAAACAGGAAAGCGCGGUUCGAAUCCUCGUGGGGCAU
rnacentral:tRNA from 1 species